GAGAGGAAGGUCCCCCACACUGGUACUGAGAGACGGACCAGACUCCUACGGGAGGCAGCAGUGAGGAAUAUUGGUCAAUGGCCGCAAGGCUGAACCAGCCAAGUCGCGUGAAGGAAGAAGGAUCUAUGGUUUGUAAACUUCUUUUAAUUGGGAAUAAUGUGCGCUACGUGUAGCGUAAGUGAAAGUACCAAAAGAAUAAGCAUCGGCUAACUCCGUGCCAGCAGCCGCGGUAAUACGGAGGAUGCGAGCGUUAUCCGGAUUUAUUGGGUUUAAAGGGUGCGUAGGUGGGGAUUUAAGUCAGCGGUGAAAGUUUGUUGCUUAACGAUAAAAUUGCCGUUGAGACUGGAUUUCUUGAGUAUGAUUGAAGCAGGCGGAAUGCGUGGUGUAGCGGUGAAAUGCAUAGAUAUCACGCCGAACUCCGAUUGCGAAGGCAGCUUGCUAAGCCAUAACUGACGCUGAAGCACGAAAGCGUGGGUAUCAAACAGGAUUAGAUACCCUGGUAGUCCACGCGGUAAACGAUGAUAACUAAGAGUUUGCGAUAUACAGUAAGUUCUACAGCGAAAGCGUUAAGUUAUCCACCUGGGGAGUACGCCGGCAACGGUGAAACUCAAAGGAAUUGACGGGGGCCCGCACAAGCGGAGGAACAUGUGGUUUAAUUCGAUGAUACGCGAGGAACCUUACCCGGGUUUGAACGUAGCCUGCCUGUUGGUGAAAGCCAACGUUCAGCGAUGACAGGUUACGAGGUGCUGCAUGGUUGUCGUCAGCUCGUGCCGUGAGGUGUCGGCUUAAGUGCCAUAACGAGCGCAACCCUUACCGUUAGUUACCAUCAGGUGAAGUUGGGGACUCUGGCGGGACUGCCGGCGUAAGCUGCGAGGAAGGUGGGGAUGACGUCAAAUCAGCACGGCCCUUACAUCCGGGGCGACACACGUGUUACAAUGGUCGGUACAGAGGGCAGCUACACAGCGAUGUGAUGCUAAUCUGC
rnacentral:rRNA from 1 species